rnacentral:rRNA from 1 species
GGAGUGCUUGCACUCCUGAUGGUUAGCGGCGGACGGGUGAGUAACACGUAGGUAACCUGCCUGUAAGACUGGGAUAACAUUCGGAAACGAAUGCUAAUACCGGAUACGCGAAUUGGUCGCAUGGCCGAUUCGGGAAAGACGGAGCAAUCUGUCACUUACAGAUGGACCUGCGGCGCAUUAGCUAGUUGGUGAGGUAACGGCUCACCAAGGCGACGAUGCGUAGCCGACCUGAGAGGGUGAUCGGCCACACUGGGACUGAGACACGGCCCAGACUCCUACGGGAGGCAGCAGUAGGGAAUCUUCCGCAAUGGACGAAAGUCUGACGGAGCAACGCCGCGUGAGUGAUGAAGGUUUUCGGAUCGUAAAGCUCUGUUGCCAGGNAAAGGAACGCUUG